UUCCAGACUCCUACGGGAGGCAGCAGUGGGGGAUAUUGCACAAUGGGGGAAACCCUGAUGCAGCGACGCCGCGUGAGUGAAGAAGUAAUUCGUUACGUAAAGCUCUAUCAGCAGGGAAGAAAAUGACGGUACCUGACUAAGAAGCCUCGGCUAACUACGUGCCAGCAGCCGCGGUAAUACGUAGGGGGCAAGCGUUAUCCGGAAUUACUGGGUGUAAAGGGAGCGCAGACGGCAGUGCAAGUCUGGAGUGAAAGCCCGGGGCCCAACCCCGGGACUGCUCUUGGAACUGCGUGGCUAGAGUGCAGGAGGGGCAGGCGGAAUUCCUGGUGUAGCGGUGAAAUGCGUAGAUAUUAGGAGGAACACCAGUGGCGAAGGCGGCCUGCUGGACGAUGACUGACGUUGAGGCUCGAAAGCGUGGGGAGCAAACAGGAUUAGAUACCCUUGUA
rnacentral:rRNA from 1 species